GCGGCAGCUGGAGCUCAGGUUUGUGUGUCUGGAGCUCAGAUCAGUGAAGUUCUUUGAGUUAAAGGAACAAGCUGCUGAUUUUCAUCUCAUUUCCCUCAGAAACAGCUGCUGACUCCUGUUUGUGGCUCUUUAGUUAAAGGUGCGUCGGAACGAGCGCUGCUGUAAGUGAAAGCUGAGUGAAGUCCAGGUAACGAAGUCACACAGGGACAUGGUGAGACAGAGGACAGGAUGUUUGUGCUUGCUGUUGAUAUUUCACAUUAAAAGCCUGAGUUAUGAACUCACUGUGAGGUCAGCCCUGAUCUCCAUAUUUAACCCACGCCAUCCUCCAGUGACGGCGUCCACGGUGAUUUAACAGCAGGGACGUGUCCUUUCAGCUCUGAGACAACUCUGAUUUUCUUAUAUGAUCCAAAUCACACGUUCUGUCUUUCUGUGCAACACAGACAACAUUCAGGUGUGUGGGAAGAUCAGAGCAGUGAGAAAACAUAAAAUGAUCCUCAGACGUUUGUGGAGUCGUGGAACGCUUCAGUCUGCUCAGACUCUGACUCGACUCUGACUCAGCCAAAGUCACGUUUCAGCUGUUACAGCCAUGAGAAGUCGAUGAAUUCAGGGAUUCAUUGCAGCUGUUUCAUGUCCAGCUGUUUGAACAGUGAUGGUCGGGAGGUUACCAGUUAAAAUCCAGCAUAGAGAGCAGCUGUGGAGUGAGAGCAUGCAGCGGCGAUGGGAAAUGAGAUGUGAGGGAGUUGUGUUUAGUGCCAGUUUGUGUUGUGUGUUUUUUUGUCUGCAGGGAUGAAAGGAUCAAAGAGGAUCUUCUGUGUGUUUUAAAUUUGCUCCAGACUUUGUCUCCUUCUCCCAGCAGGGACGUGCAGGACAGGAUUUGUCUUUAAUGAAUUAAAAGCAGCAGUUUUUUUUGGGCCUUUGUACGUCCGACGUUUUCAUAUAAAACAUCCCAGAAAACUUUUUUAUCUCCAGUUUCCUUUGUGUCAGGAUGUAAAAGGCUCCGGAGCAGAAUCGGUUCUUGUUCGAUGUAAAUAAUUCAAACCACACCCUCAGUAGUCAGACAGAAGCAGCACAGGUGAGGAGAAGCUCCGCCUUUAACACCUGCAGUCGAAGUUCGGCUCUCCGGCUCUCACCAACGUUUCCAGCGAGGAGACGGAAGCUGCAGCGUUUUGAAGCAGCUGGAGGUUUCUGUUGUUGGAGAGGUGACGCUGUCAGAGCGCUUCACUGAGCCUCCUGCUCGACCACAUGAUCCACUUUUAUACAAAUAAACCACAGAUAUUUUCUCUAAAA